GACGUAGGGUGCGAGCGUUGUCCGGAAUUAUUGGGCGUAAAGAGCUCGUAGGCGGCUCGUCACGUCGGCUGUGAAAACCCGGGGCUCAACCCCGGGCCUGCAGUCGAUACGGGCGGGCUAGAGUCCGGUAGGGGAGACUGGAAUUCCUGGUGUAGCGGUGAAAUGCGCAGAUAUCAGGAGGAACACCGGUGGCGAAGGCGGGUCUCUGGGCCGGAACUGACGCUAAGGAGCGAAAGCGUGGGGAGCGAACAGG
rnacentral:rRNA from 1 species